AUGCAGAUUAAGGCACAGUAAUAUUAUAAUAAGAUCCCUUCCUACGUCACAUGGGAAGUGAAAUCUGAGCGGCUCAUUUUUUCACAUGCUUGCAGAGAAAGGCUUACCAAAACCGGGGAUCCGAUUAUAGCACUUAAACAUGGAAAAAGUCAGAUUUUCAUGAUAUGUCCCCUUUAAUGUUAUCACAAUGGACUAAAACUUUACUCACACAGGGUAUAAACAUCAAUCAACUUAAAAGGCCAGUCAUUUUUGGACCGGGAACACCAAAUGAGGUAAAGGAUAUUCAGCACAGCACAAGGGUUAAAUAUGGGAGAGCCAUAUUUUGAGUUUUGAUAUUUGGGAUUGGGACAUUGAGCUAGUUUGGGGCCAUUUUUGAUUGGUCAUUGGGCUAGUUUGGACCUGGCAGCCCUGGUCAUGAUGCCAAGAAGUAUUUAUUUGAAUGAAAGAUAGAACAAGUAUCUCACAAAAAGAGGUUUGUUACAUUUCAGAUCAUGAAACAACAGAUCUAGAGUUGAAAAUACCAGCAAAAGUAUUGUCAAACGUCAGUGAAACGUGUUGAUAGUUCAGGAGAUGACCUACACCGGUGGUUCCUCCUCACCCACUAAAAAUCAGUUGGUUACUGCAAAAAAACUGAUUGAGAAAGCUGGUUCAGAGGAGUUCUCUAGCAUCAUUUGUUUGCACAUAGCACUGUUUUGAUCAUUUGUUAUCGACUGCAGUGACGUAUCGCUAUUUCAGCUGUUAUUCUUCAGUGAUGCUGCUCUGCUGUGUGUCAAACGGCAGUCAGAGAUCAAGGUCAGUCUUCUUUUAGCCUGUUGACACAGAAACUUGAGUAAUCCAUUGCCACACGCAGCUACAUCAUGAUCACACUACUGAAAACCACCAUAUGAAACACAUUCUGUCAGCAAUCUGUGCAUUUGGUAACACUUUACAAUAAGGUCUUAUUUGUUAACAUUAAUGCAUUAACUAACUCGAACUAACAAUGAACAAUAUAUUAUCCUUUGUUAAUAAAAAAAGUUCACAUCCCAGCACCUGAAACAAGUGCAUGGUUUAUUUUAAUGGUGUCCUGGAUCAUGUCGGAGUUUGUUCGGAGCAUUUUGUUUUGUCAGGGAGGCACAGUGUAAUAGAGAGAUUGCAAAGAAACUUGUUGAAAGAUGAAGCAGUCAGCAGUAUUGGAUCUGGCAGCAGCUGCAUCACAAACCGCCCUGUAUGGUUCAGUCGCAUAGAUAUCGGGAUCCCAAUGCGACUCCAUGUUCAAGUUGUUGAAGAUUACCCAUUUGUAAUGGUCGAAAACCAAAUAGCCAACCAACCCUGUGACGUCACAGGCUGUACUACUGCAAGAUGGCGGCGCCCUGGCUACAAAAGCUAAGAACAAAACAUCUUUUUCUUUUAAAUGGUUACAUUUAUCAUGUUUGUUUUUGAUUAGGGUGGAAAUCAAUUUACUUAAAAAUGUUAACUUGACUGUUUCAUUUCCACUUCAAGUUAUCUUCUGCAAUUACAAAAAUCACCCAGUGCUGUCUAAUGUUAAAUGUCCAUAAAACUGGGUGUAUGUUUUUUACAAGUAAAAAGACAUUUUAAAGUAAAAAGUUCAACAUUUCAAUGAUAUUUUAGUCAAUGGCAAUAAACUACAAAUUGUCUCAGAUUUUAAAUACCUUGGAAGUAUUUUAGUCUUAUACCUGACAUUUGAAAAGCAAGUUAAAAUGUUCAUGCAAUGAAAUUUAAAAAUUUUUACAUUUAUACAGAAUCAACUUUCAACAGUAUUUUUGCAUUAAUUUCUCAAAUGUUUAGAACAAAUUGCCAACUAACAUUUGAGCAAACAUGGAAAUAUUAUUCAUUAAAUCAUACAUUAAAGCAAACAUGAGAAUAUGUUUAAAGAGGAGUCAAACGUGAUCACUGAACAAUCUUCAACUUAGUAAUUUGUAAUUAAUAUUAUUAUUUUGACAGUGCUACUUUGUUUUGUGCAAUUGUAUCAUUUAAUGUAAUGUAUACUUAAAAGUGUUGUGUUUUUGUACAUAUGUUAUUUAUUGAUUAAUGAUUAAUUAUGCCAUAUGUUCCUGUGUUCUUGUCUUCCUGAAAUUUAGUAGCCAAUUCUGGGGCAGUCAUAGACUAUCCAUUAUCCCUGUUAAAUAAACUAUUAAAUAAUAAUAAAAAAAAUGUAUGUAGCACUGUGAGUACUCGUGGCAACUGUUUAGCAGCUGUUUAUGCCAGCUUAGGCUAACUGUUUGUUUUUCAUUUUACACACACACACACACACACACACACACACACAGGACGGCACUUGCGAUUGUCUGUCACAAAUAUAUUGCAAGCAAUAGGAAGAAUACAAGCUGCUCUCCAAAGGCAAUUUAUAAAGAGACAAUCAGCAAUGAGAAAUGCAUUAUACUAUAAUAAGAGUGACUGGCAGCAUGCAAAGAUGCAACUCAUAUAGCAUAGAUGGCAUUCACUUCCAUAUAGGACAGAUUG